AGUAAUCACAUAAUAACAUAAUAAAAAUAAUGACUCACACAUAUGAGAGUGGAGAAAUAUCCAUUUACUCAACAAAACUGCCAGCAAAACAAAUUGAUGCGGUGUUCACAGUCCACUACGGGCCAUGUUAAGUGCUAACAGACAACAAAUGAGUAGCUACUUCAUACUGAAGUAUGAAUAACCUCCUCCCCUCUUUAUUAACAGAGAUAUGUGGCUUUUCAUAGCCUUAUAAUGAUAAAACAUGAUGUAAUCUCCUGGAAAUCCAGUAGAAUAUAUUCAGAUUUCUCAUUUUUCCCAAAGUCAACAUGUCUCACAACUGACCCAAACCUAAAUUAUAGCUAUUUGGUGUUUAAUUAUAAUAGCAUUAGUCAUGAUCAGUACUGGUAACUAAACCCUGGAUGCAUAAAAUAAGGUUAUCUGAUUAAAAGGCCUUCAAUAAUAUUCCUAUCAUAUUCCGGUAGGGACUUUAAAGUGCAUCUGUGCCACUGAAAUGUGGGUCUACAGUGCCUUUAUCUGAUAUUUAAUCACCUAUCGUGUCACUUAAAUAUUCCCAUAACACAGGGUUUAUAGCUAGCUGUGCUGCAAUGUGAUGUUUUUCUUCUUCUUCUUCUUCUUCUUCUUCUUCUUCUUCUUCUUCUUCUUCUUCUUCUUGAGAGCCACCCUGGAAAGGACCAUCUCCUUAUCGGCUCUGCAUCUUAACCAUCAAUUAAUUUCUGUCCAGGUUCUGAGUAGCGUGAUGUGGUUGUAUGAUGACUGAUGCUUUCGCAGUAAGAUUGCGUGCGAAACCAGAUUCCACUGCCCCUAAGUGACAGUUUAUGGUCUUUGAUUUGGUUUGGCUGGAGAUUGCCAGGCAACAAAACUACCCUGAGUCCUGAACGAAACAGCCAUCUGUUCCAUAGCCCCGGUAAAACUGAAUUAAUUUGACACAGGGCCUAAUCCUGGAAUUCGGCUGUAGAUUCUUUUUUUGUUGUUGUUUUUUUUUAAAACCAGAACAGCCCGAAAAAAGUAGGUUACAUCAAAGAACACGGCGACUAUGGUGAGACUUGACAUGAAAGCGUGCAAGGGGCGCUGCUCGGUCACACAUAACCUUAAAAGGUGAUGCGUGCAACUUUGAGACGAUGAACGAAAAACAAAAGAGAGGCUAUUGUUUGUGCUGACUGUAAAGCAGGUCAUGGCAUACUAAUCCCCUCGUCUGCGCUGUGACCCAUUGAAUUCUGGACAUUCCUUGCCAUAAAGAGUGCAGCAGGAGUGAAUCCUAAAACCUGGAAAAUAAGUUAGCGUGGUUGCACUUUCGGCCGCCCUCGUCUAGACGUUAUUGGGUUUUUUUUUAAAUGGGUUUCUAGUUAAGCGCUUGAAAUAAGGGCAUUGGUUAACGCAGGCUUAACUGAUCUUCACGUUUUGUUUUGUGACGUAAAAUGUGUCGGUGUAUACCCCACGUUGCAAACAACUGGCUAAAUAAGACUGCUCAAGUUGACAUUAGCUUGAAAGUCAGGACUUAUGUUGUAAAAUAUUCAAACUCUAACUUCACAAUGUGUAAACCGAUCAAUUCAUAGUAGUGUGUGCAGUGUGGUGUAGUAAAGGCCAUGUUCGCUUGAAGCUAAUGUUAGCAUCUUCAAAAAUCAUGAAACUGGUGUUCAUUUUUGAAGAUUAUGUUCCGAAAACGAUCAAGCAUCACAAUGUUUUGUGUCUCACGGAGCUUAUUAUCUGCAAUAAUUCAAAGUCCAACUGAAGAAAUCCAGUGGGCUUUUUGUCAAAGAAAUCAAGGCGACGCUAACGUCAAGGUUAGCCGAAAAAGAUGCACCAUCCCUGCAGCACUCGACGGACAUGGCUAUUCAGAAAGAGAAAAACUCUGUAGAGCUGAGAUGGAUACGAACACAUUACACGAUGCGAGCACAGUCAAAAGAACAGGAAGAAGGCGCACAUUUAAUCGGACUUGGUUCAGGGAAUGAGUGAUGACGUCUGCCUGCCUUUCACAUCUUCUGACUGAUGCAGAAAUGCUUGCGCGAGCAAUCCCAAGAGUUUCACCCGGUGACUAUAGUGACCCAAUUUCUAAUUCAAAGUUGACAUCAGAGAACGCAGCCGCGCAGUGAUGUCGAGAUGAGGCGGAGGAAGGGGAAGCGUGACCAGAUGAAGCACUGCCUUCGAUUUUUGCAUCAACUUUGAAGUUGUUUUCCUCUAACGAUCACUGACUGCUCUGAGAGGAAAUCUAAUAAUAACUUAUUUCUUAAAGGUGCUAACUUCCUGUAUCGUCAUCAUCAACUGCACAUCUGUCACAUCUGCACUGACAGCUGGGAGGGAUAGUCAGCUCAUUGAAGGUAACGAUAAGAAGGUGAUAAUAAGGAAUAUAAUAAAAAGGAAGGAGCUUUGCAUUCGGCGUGCUGUUGCUAUAUUUUUAUCCUAUAUAUAACCAGGUGGUUUCAUGGUGAAGAACAUUCAUUUUUCAGAGAGACUGGUGAAGAAAACUCAUCAAGUAACAGAGGGUUACUAGUAAAUCUGAUCCAGGCUUGAUACUCACGGUGAUUGAAUACAGGCCAGUGUCACGACUGUGCUAACUGAUCCUCAUAUUAUAAACUAAUGGAUGCCAUGAAUGUUCAAAAAGACGAAAUAUGACACUUGGAGGCACUGGAUCCUGGAUGACACUAUGAUCGUCCCCUCUCGCCCCCCACACUGGACAGGAGGGGGCAGCGUUCUGGUCUCAGGGGGAGCGUUGGGGUAGAGGCCCUGGCAGGACUUGAGUGGAGGCAGGGGAGAUGAGGAGGAGGGCAGCGUCUAUUGUCUUUUAAUGAGAGCCUUUGAUGUGGCCCCUCUGUUUGCUGUUUGUACACCUGGGUCACUGCGCCUGCAUUCACAUUGGCUGUCUGCUGGCGGAGGAGGAGGGGGGAGGAGGGGGGGAGCACUCGGCAUAUUCCAGGUAACACUUUCCAGUCAGCUGCUGCUGCUGCCUGGCGUGGGAAGGCAGUAAAAGCAGCCCGGCCCCUUUGUUUACCCCCCUACGGUUUACGGUGCAGCAGUCCCCCCCCUCCCCAUCCUAUAGUCCUGCCUGGCCUCCAGACUCUGCAGGCAGACGCUGGCUGUCUCUCUGGAGCCCCUGGACACCAAGCAGAGGUGAAGCCGCCUGCCGGGGGGCUCACGGGCAGCUAUGCUUGCUUCCAGUGGAGCAGGAAAUGAGUGUUAACAGGAGUGAAAUGUCUUAAAAAAGACAUCAGUACAGAUGCAGAAACAGAGGGAAAAGUAGACAGGUUACGGAGAGGAGGCAGCAGUUUGCAGCAUCAUUGUAUACGGGAGUCAUGGCCACAGCUUCAAAUACGGUGGAGUUGAUUUGAUAACUUCACUGCUGCUCCUCAGGAAAUGGUAAAAAAAAAAAAAAGAAAAGAAAAAAAAAAAGAACACUUGACAAGUGUUUCAGUUACUCCCAACAAACCACAGAUUUGAACUCCUUCUAGUGAAAAUCAGUUCCACUCAAAACCAUAGGAAGCUGAGGAUUAUUCUGAAAAUCUGAACAGCGGUGGCAGAAUUUAUCCUAGAGGGAUAUCUCGACACCUCCGCAAAUCAUACCCUGCAACUCAGAAAGAAAGCAGCUUUGUGGUCUGGGUGAAAUGGCCCUUUAAAAUGCUGUUUUUAAGAAAGUCAUUAGAAUGGGUUUCAAGGGAGACAUUUACAGACAGAUUAUGCUCUACGUGUUGUGGGAGGGUUUCUUUUCCAGUCUGGAUAUUUGCAUCCCUUUAUUAGGCAGACUAACUGUGAUCCAGAACUAUUUUAAAGUGGGACCUGUGCACAAAAAUGCACAUAUGCUCUGUAUGUGUGGGCUCACAAAGAAACUCAGAGAAAUGUACUCUAUAUUAAAGUCCCCCUCCACUGAAAACUGUGCGUUAUGCCUUUUUGUGACUUGACUCGGAUGGCGAGGCUUCACUUCUUCCUAACCCUAACCCUGUGAACACAUCUUGUUUCAUAUUCAUUCUGCUGGAGGGCGAACGUUUCUCGAUGCUCACCUUAAGUCUGAGUUUAACGGGCGGACACACGAGCAGGAUUUAGUGACAUCACAACAAUAUGGAGCCCGCGUAAUUGUUUCCGGAACUCCACCUGUGUGUUUUUCUAUUUUCGCCGAGAGAAACGUCCAGCAGUGCAUAUGUGAGGCCUAAAGAUUCAACACAUCGUAUCCAGAAAUAUAAAUUAUAUGAAGUCGGAUCACCAAAAACAAAACUGAAUUAAGGACAUUUAGAUUUAGUGUGAAUGGAAAAAGCAACCACAAUGAUGAGGGACUUGAGAGACCGUGAACUUUUAUACCUGUGUGAUCCUAAUCGUGUUAUUAUUUCUCUCUCUCUGUUGUAACUGAGCUGUUUUUGUCUCUGUUCAUUGUCGUCUCUAUGGGACUCACCACUGAGCCCAGCGACAGAAAGCAUCCUGACUGGAGACAUUCACACACCGGCACGGUUCGUUCACGGCCAAGGACAGGACGGUGAUUAAAACCACCCAGAGCAUCAGUGGUACCACCAAAGUGAGACAAUCACAGGCACAGUCUGUUCACCCUGCUGCUGUACAGAAGUAUCCACUGCCGUCCCACCAGGCUACAGAGCAGCUUCUUCCCCUCAGGCUGUGAGACU